UGGGGAAUAUUGGACAAUGGGCGAAAGCCUGAUCCAGCCUUGCCGCUUGUGUGAAGAAGCUCUUCGGAUUGUUAAUCACUUUAUGUUGGGAGGAAGGGCAGUAAUCGAAUACCUUGCUGUUUUUACGUUACCGACAGAAUAAGCACCGGCUAACUCUGUGCCAGCAUCCGCGGUAAUACAGAGGGUGCUAGCGUUUAUCGGAAUUACUGGGCGUAAAGCGCGCGUAGGUGGUUCGUUAAGUUGAAUGUGAAAGCCCCGGGCUCAAACUGGGAAGUGCAUCCAAAACUGGCGAGCUAGAGUAGGGCAGAGGGUGGUGGAAUUUCCUGUGUAGCGGUGAAAUGCGUAGAUAUAGGAAGGAACACCAGUGGCGAAGGCGACCACCUGGGAUCAUACUGACACUGAGGUGCGAAAGAGUGGGGAGCAAACAGG
rnacentral:rRNA from 1 species